rnacentral:pre_miRNA from 1 species
CAAAUACUCCCUCCGUCCGGAAAUACUUGUCAUCAAAAUGGAUAAAAGGAAAUGUAUCUAGACGUAUUUUAGUUUUAGAUACAUCUCUUUUUAUCCAUUUGGAUGACAAGUAUUUUCGGACGGAGGGAGUAUUUA